AUUGAACGCUGGCGGCAGGCCUAACACAUGCAAGUCGAACGAGUGGCGGACGGGUGAGUAAUGUCUGGGAAACUGCCUGAUGGAGGGGGAUAACUACUGGAAACGGUAGCUAAUACCGCAUACCAUCAGAUGUGCCCAGAUGGGAGUAGCUUGUUGGUGGGGUAACGGCUCACCAAGGCGACGAUCCCUAGCUGGUCUGAGGGGAUGACCAGCCACCCUGGAACUGAGAUACGGUCCAGACUCCUAGCGGAGGCAGCAGUGGGGAAUAUUGCACAAGGGGCGCAAGCCUGAUGCAGCCAUGCCGCGUGUAUGAAGAAGGCCUUCGGGUUGUAAAGUACUUGCAGCGGGGAGGCGUUAACGGAAGAAGAAGCACCGGCUAACUCCGUGCCAGCAGCCGCGGUAAUAG
rnacentral:rRNA from 1 species